rnacentral:rRNA from 1 species
GACGAACGCUGGCGGCGUGCUUAACACAUGCAAGUCGAACGAAGUGGCGAACGGGUGAGUAACGCGUAAUCAACCUGCCCUCCUCUUGGGGAUAGCCUCGGGAAACCGGGAUAAUACCCGAUAGAGAAGGAUGGCACGCGGCCUGUUGGCUUGUUGGUGGUGGAGAGGCCGACCAAGGCAAUGAUGGGUAGCUGGGUUGAGAGACCGACCAGACAGAGUGGGACUGAGAGACGGCCCAGAGUCCUACGGGAGGCAGCAGUGGGGAAUCUUGUACAAUGGGCGAAAGCGUGAGGCAGAGACGCCGCGUGCGGGACGAAGGCCUUCGGGUUGUAAACCGCUUUCAGCAGGGACGCGGUACCUGCAGAAGAAGCCCCGGCUAACUACGUGCCAGCAGCCGCGGUAAUAC